AGAGUUUGAUCCUGGCUCAGGAUGAACGCUAGCUACAGGCUUAACACAUGCAAGUCGAGGGGCAGCAUGGUCUUAGCUUGCUAAGGCCGAUGGCGACCGGCGCACGGGUGAGUAACGCGUAUCCAACCUGCCUUACACUCUUGGACAGGCUUCUGAAAGGGAGAUUAAUACAAGAUGUUAUCAUGAGUAAGCAUUUUCGCAUGAUUAAAGGUUUACCGGUGUAAGAUGGGGAUGCGUUCCAUUAGAUAGUAGGCGGGGUAACGGCCCACCUAGUCUUCGAUGGAUAGGGGUUCUGAGAGGAAGGUCCCCCACAUUGGAACUGAGACACGGUCCAAACUCCUACGGGAGGCAGCAGUGAGGAAUAUUGGUCAAUGGACGAGAGUCUGAACCAGCCAAGUAGCGUGAAGGAUGAAGGUUCUAUGGAUUGUAAACUUCUUUUAUACGGGAAUAAACGGAUCCACGCGUGGAUUUUUGCAUGUACCGUAUGAAUAAGGAUCGGCUAACUCCGUGCCAGCAGCCGCGGUAAUACGGAGGAUCCGAGCGUUAUCCGGAUUUAUUGGGUUUAAAGGGAGCGUAGAUGGGUUGUUAAGUCAGUUGUGAAAGUUUGCGGCUCAACCGUAAAAUUGCAAUUGAUACUGGCAGUCUUGAGUACAGUUGAGGUAGGCGGAAUUCGUGGUGUAGCGGUGAAAUGCUUAGAUAUCACGAAGAACUCCGAUUGCGAAGGCAGCUUACUAACCUGUAACUGACAUUGAUGCUCGAAAGUGUGGGUAUCAAACAGGAUUAGAUACCCUGGUAGUCCACACGGUAAACGAUGAAUACUCGCUGUAGGCGAUAUACAGUCUGCGGCCAAGCGAAAGCAUUAAGUAUUCCACCUGGGGAGUACGCCGGCAACGGUGAAACUCAAAGGAAUUGACGGGGGCCCGCACAAGCGGAGGAACAUGUGGUUUAAUUCGAUGAUACGCGAGGAACCUUACCCGGGCUUAAAUUGCAACCGAAUAUGGCGGAAACGCUAUAGCUAGCAAUAGCGGUUGUGAAGGUGCUGCAUGGUUGUCGUCAGCUCGUGCCGUGAGGUGUCGGCUUAAGUGCCAUAACGAGCGCAACCCUUGCCGAUAGUUACUAACAGGUUAUGCUGAGGACUCUGUCGGGACUGCCAUCGUAAGAUGUGAGGAAGGUGGGGAUGACGUCAAAUCAGCACGGCCCUUACGUCCGGGGCUACACACGUGUUACAAUGGGGGGUACAGAGGGCUGCUACCACGCAAGUGGAUGCCAAUCCCAAAAACCUCUCUCAGUUCGGAUUGAAGUCUGCAACCCGACUUCAUGAAGCUGGAUUCGCUAGUAAUCGCGCAUCAGCCACGGCGCGGUGAAUACGUUCCCGGGCCUUGUACACACCGCCCGUCAAGCCAUGGGAGCCGGGGGUACCUGAAGUGCGUAACCGCAAGGAGCGCCCUAGGGUAAAACUGGUGACUGGGGCUAAGUCGUAACAAGGUAGCC
rnacentral:rRNA from 1 species